AUAGUGGCCGCUGCAGUGGGGGUCUUAGUCCAGGAUAUAAGGUGUAUUGUAACCUCAGUUCUUGCUGGGCAAUGGCUUUAAUCCCAGCAUUCGGGAGGCAGAGUUAGGCCGGUCUCUGUGAGUUCGAGACCAGUGUAGACUGUAAGAGCUAGUUCCAGGACAGGCUCCAAAACCUUUUUUUCUUUUCUCAGACCACCUGGAGUGAGCUUCAGAUGAGAUGGCAGCAGCUCGGCGUUCUCUGUUUCCCGAUACCCUGGAUCCCCUUGAGGAGGAGCGCCUUUGGGAACAGCAAUGGCAACUGAAACAAUACUUUGAGGAGGAGCCAUACCCAGACCUUGAGGCUCGAAGGGAUCUGGCCACCAAACUUGGCAUGACAGAGGAACAAGUUGAGACUUGGUUCAUUGAUCAGUCCUUGGAGAAGGAGAUGCGGCGACCUGCAAUACAGCUCACUGCCCCUGUAAACACCUAUUCUGCUCGCAGCAGAUUCCGAUCGCUCAGGUUUGCCUUGUUAAACAAGACGCUCAGGGGGACACUCAUUACGCCCUCAACCAGCUCCGCCUGGCAUCAAGACCCAGAUUCAGAAGAGCAGAGAAGACAUGAAGUCAGCUUGCAGACGUACCA
rnacentral:lncRNA from 1 species